CUUAGCAGGGGAUAACAUUUGGAAACAAGUGCUAAUACCGUAUAAUACCAACAACCGCAUGGUUGUUGGUUGAAAGAUGGUUCUGCUAUCACUAAGAGAUGGACCCGCGGUGCAUUAGCUAGUUGGUAAGGUAACGGCUUACCAAGGCAAUGAUGCAUAGCCGAGUUGAGAGACUGAUCGGCCACAAUGGGACUGAGACACGGCCCAUACUCCUACGGGAGGCAGCAGUAGGGAAUCUUCCACAAUGGGCGCAAGCCUGAUGGAGCAACGCCGCGUGUGUGAUGAAGGGUUUCGGCUCGUAAAACACUGUUAUAAGAGAAGAACGGCACUGAGAGUAACUGUUCAGUGUGUGACGGUAUCUUACCAGAAAGGAACGGCUAAAUACGUGCCAGCAGCCGCGGUAAUACGUAUGUUCCAAGCGUUAUCCGGAUUUAUUGGGCGUAAAGCGAGCGCAGACGGUUAUUUAAGUCUGAAGUGAAAGCCCUCAGCUCAACUGAGGAAUGGCUUUGGAAACUGGAUGACUUGAGUGCAGUAGAGGAAAGUGGAACUCCAUGUGUAGCGGUGAAAUGCGUAUAUAUAUGGAAGAACAC
rnacentral:rRNA from 1 species